CGGAAGUGCCCCAAAUCAAACCGGAAGCGACCCAAAUCAAACCGGAAGUGACCCAAAUCAAACCGGGAAUGACCCAAAUCAAACCAGAAUGACCUUAUUUCAACGAAAAAUGCCCUAAAUGAAACCACAAGUGACCUAAAUAUGAUAUUUGCUCUAACUUUUCCAAUUUUUGUCCAAUUCAACCCGUUUCAACUUUUGAACUCUAAAGUGAACCUUUUGAACCUGUAGUUUUCGUUUUGUUCCAAAUUUCAUAAAUUUUUGGCGCAAUUGUUUUUUAAAUUCCCAUUCAUGGUCUUCGCCCUCACACGCAAUUUCUCCAGAAAUUGCAUUUUCUAGUUUUAUGAGCAUUUUAUUUUUUCUUAUAUAUGGAAGAAUUGUAUUCUCUUCUACGCACUAUAUUUUUUCACAUUUGUUCACAUUUUCGUUUUUAAAAUGUUUAUUAAAAAAGGACUUGCACUUUUUGAUGCUAUAUUAGACCUGCAUGGAUCAUAAUUAGAUAUAAUUUAAAAAAAAUCAAUC